rnacentral:rRNA from 1 species
UGGGGAAUAUUGGACAAUGGGCGGAAGCCUGAUCCAGCAACGCCGCGUGAGGGAUGACGGCCUUCGGGUUGUAAACCUCUUUCAGUACCGACGAAGCGCAAGUGACGGUAGGUACAGAAGAAGCACCGGCCAACUACGUGCCAGCAGCCGCGGUAAUACGUAGGGUGCGAGCGUUGUCCGGAAUUAUUGGGCGUAAAGGGCUCGUAGGCGGUUUGUCGCGUCGGGAGUGAAAACGCCGUGCUUAACACGGCGCUUGCUUCCGAUACGGGCAGACUAGAGGUAUUCAGGGGAGAACGGAAUUCCUGGUGUAGCGGUGAAAUGCGCAGAUAUCAGGAGGAACACCGGUGGCGAAGGCGGUUCUCUGGGAAUGACCUGACGCUGAGGAGCGAAAGUGUGGGGAGCGAACA